GGUUGGAUAAAAAAACAUUAAAGAGUAAGUCAGUUUUUUUUCCGUAGAAUUUUUUUAAGACUCUGUUAUAUAUUUCUGACUUGUUUUUGCUUUAUAAUCAGGUUUGUUGUGUGUGCACCUGCAUUUGCUAUAGAUAAGCAAGCUCUUGAUGGAUACCGCUGGGAGAAGCGUCCUACGUUUGCUAGUGAGAAUUUCAUUUUAUUUCAGCUAUGUUGUGUAAUAGUUGAUAAAUACGAUAUUUGCAAUGCAGGAGUAAAUGCUGCACAUCAGACUUGUUAUGUGAAUCAGGCAACGCAAGAUGGCAACAGUCAGCCCAUAAUAGAUCAGGCAGGGGCAGAUGAAGAUGGCAACACUAUGGAUCUGGCAGGGGCGGAUGAAGAAGAAGAUGACAACAGUAUGGAUCAGACAGGGGCGGAUGAAGAAGAGAGUGUACCUUCCAAAAGUCUUACCAAAACCGUUAGCAGUACAAUGGAUCAAGAGAAUUUACCUGGCAACAGUCAGCCCCGUUCAGGCAGGGAAUGAAGAUAGCAGUACAAUGGACAGGGAAACAUUCUGCCUGAACGUU
rnacentral:lncRNA from 1 species